GAUGAACGCUGGCGGCGUGCCUAAUACAUGCCAGUCGAGCGAACAGACGAGGAGCUUGCUCCUCUGACGUUAGCGGCGGACGGGUGAGUAACACGUGGAUAACCUACCUAUAAGACUGGGAUAACUUCGGGAAACCGGAGCUAAUACCGGAUAAUAUAUUGAACCGCAUGGUUCAAUAGUGAAAGACGGUUUUGCUGUCACUUAUAGAUGGAUCCGCGCCGCAUUAGCUAGUUGGUAAGGUAACGGCUUACCAAGGCAACGAUGCGUAGCCGACCUGAGAGGGUGAUCGGCCACACUGGAACUGAGACACGGUCCAGACUCCUACGGGAGGCAGCAGUAGGGAAUCUUCCGCAAUGGGCGAAAGCCUGACGGAGCAACGCCGCGUGUGUGAUGAAGGUCUUCGGAUCGUAAAACUCUGUUAUUAGGGAAGAACAAAUGUGUAAGUAACUAUGCACGUCUUGACGGUACCUAAUCAGAAAGCCACGGCUAACUACGUG
rnacentral:rRNA from 1 species